CCCGGCCACGUAGCUCAGCUCCACCCUCCCUGCUGCGCAGGCGCACAGUGUUCUGUGACAGCCCAGUGUGUCCUCAGGGCUGGGUCCGCUGGCUGGUCUCCCAGCCGAGUGAGCGGUGAGUGGUCGCCGGUCAACAGUAUGAGGCGGUGCCUGCCCCCCGCCGCUCGCCGUCUGCCCGGCCUCCAUAGACUGAGGAGAACGGCGAGGCCAAGGUCGGCUCACACUGACAAGGCCAGCUGCACCCUGCCUCGCUGCGGCCUAGCGCCUGUCGCUUCCCACAGCCCUGGCGAACCCACCGGCUGAGGGGGACCAGGCUGGACCCGCCCGACUUUCGGUCCGCCCGUUCCUCCUGUACUGGCAGCCGAGGUGUGUGGGGAGGUUCGGUUCCGGGCCCGAUCGGACUAAAUGGCCGAGCAGUGGACAGGCCAACGUGGGACCCAAGGUGCCGGAAUCGGCAGGUCGCGCCCGCUGCCCGCCCCGCGCCCCGCGGCAGGGAACCUUCCAGGGUGGCUUCCCGGCCGCCCUCCGUCUGAAGUCAGCUUAAGGGGCUCCGUUUCUCAGUCCCGGACGUCUCCCAGGGAGCGCCAGCCCGGCCUGAGUGCAGGAGGCCUCCUCCAGCAGGCGAGGAAAGGAGGGAGCCCCUCGUCUCCUCCUCGGCAGCAGAGUCCAGGACCUGGAGUCCCCGAGAGGACCUCUGAGGUGUUGGGCAUUUUGUCCCAGUGAUGAGAAAGUAACUAAGACAAUGGCUAUCAUCAAGAACUCAGAAAACAACAAAUGUUAGCGAAGUUGUGGGGGAAGGAACUCUCCUACAUUGUUGAUGGGAAUAUAAACUAGUACAACCACUUUGGAACGGAGUAUGGACCUUCCUCAAACAACUACAAAUAGGAAUUCCAUUUGACCCCUGCGAUUGCUCUUCUGGAUAUCUUCCAACAAGAGUUAAAGACACCAUGGAACUCAUUUAAGCUGGACCUUCAGAUCGGUGAGAAGUUUUUCUAUCCAUGUUGUAACAACCACUAUGCCUUCCACCAUCUCAGAGCCCAAAGACGAUGCUUUGAGGGAUAAUUCUUUCAUCACAGACUCCAGCACUACAAACAUGUUGGGUUUCCUUGGCUUCUCUAGGUGACGAUGGUACUGUGACAUCAUCAUAAAAACUCACAGCUAAGGCCCGUCUCAUUGUUCGACCUUGACAGAACUCAGUGAAGAUGACUUUGGGAACCCCUUGGAUGCAAAACCCUUCCUUCAGAGGACCCAGGCUGCAUUUCUUUCCCAGCAUGCAGCUGUGCCACCUUAAUCAUUUUUUAAAUUGUAAACAGUUGUGGAUGAUCCUUUUAACAAACUCUAAUUCACCUCCUUCAGCCAUGAUUUCUGUGAUACCUCCUGUAUUUACAGAACUAGGUGGAGUUCUUUGAGAAUUUCUAGAGUUUACUCCCUUGGGCUCCAACUGGUUGGCAAAAAAAAAGGAGGGUUGUACAUGC
rnacentral:lncRNA from 1 species